rnacentral:lncRNA from 1 species
ACUUUAUGUGAAUGAAGACUAGUCUUGGGGUACCACAGUGAAUAAGUUGUUUCUGCAAAAGAAGAACAAGUAAUUCAACAGCAAGCACACUCCUAAACUUGUAGCAAUAUUCCAACUCAUAACUAGGACAGACACAUACAUCUAGAGUGCUGGAGACACAUGGAUUCACACUGGUUGAAUCUGUUGUAACGCGACUUUAACAAGAAGAUAUAGUUGAGAACUGAAAAAAAAAUAGUCUGUGCAUGACAUAGUAACAAAACAAAAAGAACCCAUAUCCAAAAAAACUACAUACAGUAACCAUUUGAUAAACCUCUUUGAUGAAGAAAACAAAUUGAAAUCAUUUUUCUUGCUAAAGUCUUGAAAACUAUACUCUUAGGCAUAACGCUUAAACUCAUCCAUGUAAAACACCUGUACAUCUUACCUGCAAGCACGAAGAAGCACAAAUGCAAAAGCUUACCUCCAUACACGAAGAAAACACAUGUUCAGCUUACUUGCAUGCAUGAAGAAUGAUUGAUAAUUUCUGACAUACAUACAAGAAGAUUUCAUCAUACUUUCAUGCAAAAGUAAAUUUUUGCUCUUACACACACACGUUAAAACCUAACUUGCACACAUGUUCAUAGUUGUUCGUGUUCCAGGUUCCUGAUUGUGGCAGUGGAUCCUGAUUUGAAGAACACAAGUCUUCAAUCAUGUAACAGAGGACUGAAGAGUGAUGUGCUGAUCAGAGAGCAAGGAAGAGGUUCUACAAGCAACAUGUAUGGACAUAGAAGGACUUUUGGAACUUUGAAAUCUUGGAACUUUUGAUUGUGGAGAUAUGAACUCUGACCCAAGUCAACGAAGGCUCACUAUCACUGAUAGUAAUGGCUGACCACCUCUGGAGGACUCUGAGAACUCAAGAUGUUUUCCUAAUGCUGGUAUUCCAAGGAGAAGCUUACUCACUGAACAAGAACUAUCGCAGACAACGGUCUGACUUAAGGUUAGAAAGGGCUUAUAUUUUAUAUAUAAUAAACAUGCUUAGGUAGCGUAUGUCCUGAAAAUCCAUUUCAAGGUAUUCUGCUUAAAUUAACCAGGAGGAGCUGUUGGAAAAGGGCUCUAAAAUGACUUUCAAUCUCAAGAUGUGGUUUCUUAAAGUAGUUUCUUAUAUCCUCUAACUUCCCUUUGUGGCAUGUGAAAGAUGAAAUGACAGAGGAAGCAAAGGUUGUCUAACAAAUGGGGUCCCUACUCUGCUCCUUCCUCAAUUUAUGGCAUUCCCUGAAUACAAGGGGAGAUGGAAUUUUUAUGUACUAAAAACAAUUAUUCAAGUAAGGCCACUUAAUUAAAAGGAAAACAAUUAAUUAGGUAAUCUGAUUUCUGAUUGGAGGAAAGAUUAGGGACAUCCCAAAUAGGAAGCAAACGGGUGAAAUUCCCUGAAAUCAGAACAAGCAGAGUCUCGCUUCUCCCAGGUAUCUGUAAACAAAAGAUUUUGACAAUAACUAACUGAUCUGUAUGGGGGCAGUUUUUAGAUAAAAUAUACGGAUUGCUUGAGAUGUGUAACAGUA